UACGGAGGAUCCAAGCGUUAUCCGGAAUUACUGGGCGUAAAGAGUUGCGUAGGCGGCAGAGUAAGCGGACAGUGAAAUUGUGUGGCUCAACCAUACACCCAUUGUCUGAACUGCUCAGCUAGAGGAUGAGAGAGGUUAUUGGAAUUCCCAGUGUAGGAGUGAAAUCCGUAGAUAUUGGGAGGAACACCGAUGGCGUAGGCAGAUAACUGGCUCAUUCCUGACGCUCAGGCACGAAAGCGUGGGUAGCAAACGGG
rnacentral:rRNA from 1 species